GACGAACGCUGGCGGCGUGCUUAACACAUGCAAGUCGAACGGAAAGGCCCUGCUCUUGUGGGGUGCUCGAGUGGCGAACGGGUGAGUAACACGUGAGUAACCUGCCCCUGACUUUGGGAUAACUUCAGGAAACUGGGGCUAAUACCGGAUAGGAGCUCCUGCUGCACGGUGGGGGUUGGAAAGUUUCGGCGGUUGGGGAUGGACUCGCGGCUUAUCAGCUUGUUGGUGGGGUAGUGGCUUACCAAGGGUUUGACGGGUAGCCGGCCUGAGAGGGUGACCGGCCACAUUGGGACUGAGAUACGGCCCAGACUCCUACGGGAGGCAGCAGUGGGGAAUAUUGCACAGUGGGCGGAAGCCUGAUGCAGCAGCGCCGCGUGCGGGAUGACGGCCUUCGGGUUGUAAACCGAUUUCGCCUGUGACGAAGCGUGAGUGACGGUAAUGGGUAAAGAAGCACCGGCUAACUACGUG
rnacentral:rRNA from 1 species